GGCCUCCCAGUCCCCAUUCAUUCACCACUGUCAUCGUCAAAUAGGAGGACAUUGGAUUUCUUAUUAGGGAAACAGGAAAGAGUCUGGGCUUUUAAAUUCCACCUGUUGCACUUGGAGAAACCUGAAAACAGAGGCUAAUAUUAAAGAUAAAAGACCGAUACCAAAUGUUACUGACUUCCGCCGUUAUUUUGGAGACGUCGUGGAUAUUCUGCUGUUUAUUUCUGGCCCCAACUUGUUUGAGAAGCUUAUAAAGUGAAGGUUAGACCAAAGCCAGUCCAGGACCUCCCCGGUUAAAUCGGGAGCGUCAGCCACCGAGCACAGCAGGCCUGCGUUCCUGCCUCCUCCACGCCCAGCCCAGCGCGGGACCCCGGAAGGGCGGCCCGCCCAGCAGCCGGCCGUCCGGCCGUCGGUCUGUCCGCAGCGCGAAAGCCGCCUUGGAAGGACUCACUGCUGCCCUGGAGUCGACCUCUGUAACUGGAGCGGCGCCCGGACCCGAUGCCAGGAGUGCAAACAGCCUCCAGAAAGGCGGAGUUCUUCCGAAGAGCAGCAAGAGCCGCAGGAGACGGCCUUGCACCUUCCAGUCCGAGCCCGGCUCAGCCGGCUGAGUACUCGCUUGGCCCCGCUGUCAGGGCAGCUUGAGCACGCGGAGAAACCUGAGUCAGCUUUGAACAGUCUGUGUACAGUGACAGGCCACUCCUGGGACACUUGGCGCCUGUGCUCACAGGUCUGGUGGCUUGCUCGGCCCCUCCCCCCUGCUGGGGCUGAACCGGUGCCACCUCAGAAGCCAGACUGCAUCCUGCCUACCCUGUGCCUCUUCUCAUGAAGAGGACAGGACCCUCUGUGAUCUAAGCCGUAUCCUCUCUGCCCUCAACGCCUCACAUGCCCUCCCUUGAAGACAGUGGGAAGUCAGCUACCAUCCUGUCUCAAGAAGAGGCCUGAGCAGCAAGGAGCUUGCUAUGUCUUGGGUGUGGUUUUUCUACCAAAGGUUCAUGUAGAAGAUUGAUCCACAGUGUGGUGAUGUUAAAAAGUGGUGGGAUCUUGCCAGGAGUGGUGGGGGAGGCCUGUAAUCGUAGCACCUGGGAGGCCGAGGCAGGAGCAUUGCAAAUUCAAGCCCAAUCUGGGCAACUUAUUGACCUAGCAAGACCCUGUCUAAAA